rnacentral:rRNA from 1 species
AACGAACGCUGGCGGCAGGCUUAACACAUGCAAGUCGAACGCAUCCUUCGGGGUGAGUGGCAGACGGGUGAGUAACGCGUGGGAACGUGCCCUUCAGUUCGGGAUAACCCAGGGAAACUUGGGCUAAUACCGGAUACGUGCGAGAGCAGAAAGAUUUAUCGCUGAAGGAUCGGCCCGCGUCUGAUUAGCUAGUUGGUGGGGUAAUGGCCCACCAAGGCGACGAUCAGUAGCUGGUCUGAGAGGAUGAUCAGCCACAUUGGGACUGAGACACGGCCCAAACUCCUACGGGAGGCAGCAGUGGGGAAUAUUGGACAAUGGGCGCAAGCCUGGUCCAGCCAUGCCGCGUGAGUGAUGAAGGCCUUAGGGUUGUAAAGCUCUUUCGUCCGGGACGAUAAUGACGGUACCGGAAGAAGAAGCCCCGGCUAACUUCGUACCAGCAGCCGCGGUAA